GAUACACCUUUCAAAACGUCGAACGACACAACUGUCAUUACAUUGAUCGAUGUUUCUUCCAGCAAGCUUUACGAAUGGGUCUGAUUGGUUCUCUAAUCUCCUAGACUAACUUUCGUGUGUAUCUAGUUAAUUAGAUCAUACUAGUUUAGUUUCAGAUAACAGAUCAAGCUUCCGCUUGCGCCAAUUACUCAUAAGAUCUAAAUUUAGGGUGAUCAAGCCUAAACUUAGCGAUAAGAACAACUAGAUGAAGAACUAUUUUAAUUUCCUAACACAUAUUCAUUUCAGCGAUACAUAAAUCAAUCUUUAAAAAACCUAAACCUAACAAUAAGAUUACUCAAAACAUAUUCAUAAGAAACAUUAUGAUGGUCUGAAUAAUACUUAAAACAAAGAUGAAAAGCAAACAACUAGAGUAAGAAACAAAGGGGACUUCAAGAUUCUUCUCUUGUAUGAAGUUCAAAUCUCUCACUCCAAUCCUAAGCUCUCUUCUCUAAGUGUAGAGAUGUCUGCCUCCAAAAGUUAUCUAUCUUUGAAAGUCUAUCUCUAAGUAAAACAUA
rnacentral:lncRNA from 1 species